CACACGACUCUCAGCAACGGAUAUCUCGGCUCUCGCAUCGAUGAAGAAUGUAGCAAAAUGCGAUACCUGGUGUGAAUUGUAGAAUCCUGCGAACCAUCGAGUUUUUGAAUGCAAGUUGCGCCCGAGGCCUUCUGGCUGAGGGCACGCCUGCCUAGGCGUCAUGC
rnacentral:rRNA from 1 species